rnacentral:rRNA from 1 species
UACAGAGGGUGCGAGCGUUAUCCGGAAUUACUGGGCGUAAAGGGUGCGUAGGUGGCCUGAUAAGUCAGGGGUCAAAGGCAACGGCUCAACCGUUGUAAGCCCUUGAAACUAUCGGGCUUGAGUUCAGGAGAGGAAAGCGGAAUUCCAAGUGUAGCGGUGAAAUGCGUAGAUAUCGGGAGGAACAUCAGUGGCGAAGGCGGCACUCUGGACAAAGACUGACGCUCAGGUGCGAAAGCGUGGGGAGCAAACAGG